rnacentral:rRNA from 1 species
CCUACGGGAGGCAGCAGUGAGGAAUAUUGGUCAAUGGGCGCAAGCCUGACCCAGCAACGCCGCGUGAAGGAAGAAGGCUUUCGGGUUGUAAACUUCUUUUCUCAGGGACGAAGAAAGUGACGGUACCUGAGGAAUAAGCCACGGCUAACUACGGGCCAGCAGCCGCGGUAAUACGUAGGUGGCAAGCGUUAUCCGGAUUUACUGGGUGUAAAGGGCGUGUAGGCGGGAAAGCAAGUCAGAUGGGAAAACCCUGGGCUCAACCUGUGGCCUGCCUUUGAAACUGUUUUUCUUGAGUACUGGAGAGGCAGCCGGAAUUCCUCGUGUAGCGGUGAAAUGCGUAGAUAUGAGGAGGAACACCAGUGGCGCAGGCGGUCUGCUGGACAGCAACUGACGCUGAGGCGCGAACGCGUGGGGAGCAAACAGGAUUAGAUACCCGUGUAGUC